rnacentral:rRNA from 1 species
CCUACGGGGUGCAGCAGUGGGGAAUAUUGGGCAAUGGGCGCAAGCCUGACCCAGCAACGCCGCGUGAAGGAAGAAGGCUUUCGGGUUGUAAACUUCUUUUAUGGGGGAAGAGCAGAAGACGGUACCCCUUGAAUAAGCCACGGCUAACUACGUGCCAGCAGCCGCGGUAAUACGUAGGUGGCAAGCGUUGUCCGGAUUUACUGGGUGUAAAGGGCGUGCAGCCGGAGAGACAAGUCAGAUGUGAAAUCCACGGGCUCAACCCGUGAACUGCAUUUGAAACUGUUUCCCUUGAGUGUCGGAGAGGUAAUCGGAAUUCCUUGUGUAGCGGUGAAAUGCGUAGAUAUAAGGAAGAACACCAGUGGCGAAGGCGGAUUACUGGACGAUAACUGACGGUGAGGCGCGAAAGCGUGGGGAGCAAACAGGAUUAGAUACCCUUGUAGUC